rnacentral:rRNA from 1 species
GGUAGCUGCAAGGUGAAUUGGUCAGCGGUGUGCACUCCCACAUCUCAUGGAGGACUAGGGAUCCUCGACCUUGUACGUUUCAGUCGUGCCCUUAGAUUGCGGUGGCUUUGGAUCUCCGGGACUGAGCCGGAGCGGCCAUGGGUUGGCACGCAGCCACCAUGCAACGCCAGCGACAAGGCUCUUUCGCAGUGGCGACCGUGGUCACCAUCGGCGAUGGGGAAACAACACUCUUCUGGCACUCCUCCUAGAUUGGUUCGAGCACCCUUGCCAGCGCUUACCCCUCCUCUACAAGCAUUCCAGGCACAAAAAUAG